rnacentral:rRNA from 1 species
UACGUAGGGUCCGAGCGUUGUCCGGAAUUAUUGGGCGUAAAGGGCUCGUAGGCGGUUCGUCACGUCGGGCGUGAAAACUCGGGGCUUAACCCCGAGCCUGCUUCCGAUACGGGCAGACUAGAGGUAGGCAGGGGAGAGCGGAACUCCUGGUGUAGCGGUGGAAUGCGCAGAUAUCAGGAAGAACACCGGUGGCGAAGGCGGCUCUCUGGGCCGGUCCUGACGCUGAAACGCGAAGGCGUGGGGAGCGAACGGG